rnacentral:lncRNA from 1 species
AAGUAUUAUAAUAAUGGGGCUAUUGCUUUUAUAUCCCUGGAAAGUUUUCGACUUUCUAAUUUACACCUCUUAGAAGGUUAAUAUUGAAAAUACCUUUUUUACGCUCCAACCUAUUUCAAAUAUAUCCCUAGAGUUAAAAUCUGUUAAUGAACUCUGUUAUCUCUAUAAAAUUACUAUUUUGCCCUUUCAAAUAUACCCUUCUACCAGCACCGACUUUUCUUAUUUGCCCUUAACUUAGGGGCACAAAAAGUAUUUUAUUUUUUGGUCUUUUGAAAUAUACCCUUCUACCAUCACCAACUUUUCUUAUUUGCCCUUAAAUUAAGGGCAAAAGUGGUAUUUUAUUUUUUUUAACUGUGGUAGAUAUUUGACUCACGUUUAACCUAAGUUAACUUAACUGGUGAUAACUGUAGGGGUAUUUUGGAAUAACAAAGGAACAUAUGAAGGGUAUAUUGGAAAGAAAAAAAAAGUAGGGGUAAAUGAGAUAUUUUCGAAGUUUUGAGGGGUAUAUAGACAAUUAUC